rnacentral:rRNA from 1 species
GACGAACGCUGGCGGCGUGCUUAACACAUGCAAGUCGAACGGUGAAGCGCCUUCCUUUUUGGUGGGUGUGGAUGAGUGGCGAACGGGUGAGUAACACGUGAGUAACCUGCCCCCUUCUUCUGGAUAACCGCAUGAAAGUGUGGCUAAUACGGGAUAUUCUGGGUCUGUCGCAUGAUGGGUCUGGGAAAGAUAUUGUUUCGGUGGGGGAUGGGCUCGCGGCCUAUCAGCUUGUUGGUGGGGUGAUGGCCUACCAAGGCGGUGACGGGUAGCCGGCCUGAGAGGGUGGACGGGCACAUUGGGACUGAGACACGGCCCAGACUCCUACGGGAGGCAGCAGUGGGGAAUAUUGCACAAUGGGCGCAAGCCUGAUGCAGCGACGCCGCGUGAGGGAUGGAGGCCUUCGGGUUGUGAACCUCUUUCGCCAGUGAAGCAGGCCUGCCUCGUUUGUGGGUGGGUUGACGGUAGCUGGAUAAGAAGCGCCGGCUAACUACGUG